GCAGCAUAUUGCCUUCAGUUAGGGAUCAUGCAAUGAGUUAACAAAGUAUGGCAGCUUCAGAUGCUGAUGUGAAUAGGAAGGGAAGAUAUGGAAAAAGAGGAACAGGUCUCCCUCUUGCUGCUCCCUGGUCUUUAGAAGAUUUUUCCUUGAGACGCUCCUGCCAACAUAAUUCCAUGUCGUUUGCCCCAACCCAUGGCAGACAGACGAUACUCCAAGGGAUAACCACCUCUAAUUACAACAGAAGUGUGGUAAGUACUUGGAUCAGAGGUAGAUAGGGGGUUACUGCUAAGUUUCCCCCUGAAUGCAUCACUGUUUUGCCAAGCCAGGGCAAGACACCCACCACCUUGUCCCACUCCAAGAUGCCACCAGGC
rnacentral:lncRNA from 1 species